rnacentral:lncRNA from 1 species
CCCUUGCUACUCAUGCCCUAGACCAGACAAGGGGAUCAUGGAGUCUGAUCCCUAGUGAACUUCCUUACUGCUGCUCCUUUAUCUUCAACCUGCUGCUGCUCUUCUUUCCCCACGCCACUGCUGCUGCUCCUCUGCUUAAAACUGCUGCUUCUUCUCUCCCGCGCCACUUGUUGUUCCUCACUAGCUGAACCUCUGAUCUGAACCUCUUCCUUCCGCUGCUUCCCUACUUCUUCUCUGAAUCUCCCAAACGCUGCUGCUGCUACCUGCUCUCAAGCGUCCACUUACUGCUCAGUUUCAGACUUGUGUUCCUGUAGUGUUAAAUCGGUCAUAUGUGAAUGGUGUUGGGGCAUGUGACUCUAUGUUCUUGUAUGUGUUAAUUAGUUAAAUUUUUCACUUGAGUACUGCACUUGCUGCAUAGUCGUGUUUGUUCAAUUUAUAGUUCCUGUGUUGCUCAAGUACCUGUGAUAUAUGAUUGUGCAUGUGUGUGUUUGAUUUGAAACAAUUAUAUUCUAUCAUAUAUUGUCGCUUCUUCCUACUGUCAUAUGUUUGAUACUAAUGUGUCCUCGUCUUCUAGGUUUUCUUGAUAUUGACUCCUGUUUGUGUUAGUACCUUAAUUUCUCAAGUAUUACAAAAAUACCAAAAAGAAAGUUAGUAAAAUCUGAAUCUGCCUUUGCUUAUUUUACAUUUUCUUUGGCGACGAUCUUCGGGAACUACCUUGUUUAGGUUAGGUUUUAUUUUCUGUUUUCGUCAUCAAAUAUCGUGUCACCUAGCUUUAGCCGACCAUAGUUGCUGUCGCCUAGUCCCUGUGGAGUACAAGACACUCGCAGUUUGGGCGUAAAAUCCCACUGGUCUUACAAUUGAUCAUUUUGGCACCGUUGCCGGGGACUAGUGUCGAGUGACCGUGUUAGGCUAUAGACUAGGUUUUUCUUCUUUUUCUAUUUUGUGCCAUAUAUUUGUGAUAAAUCUCUAACUCCUAACCCUUGUUCCAGAUUAUUUCCUCUUUGUUUUCUUUUCCUUUGCAGGUUAGAACCAUCUUCUCGGAUAUGGCUUACUAUUCAGAUCAUCAUGCUUAUGCGAGCAACACUACAAAUAGCACGGAAAGUAUUCAAGAACUGAUAAGUAAGAUUUCCCAUCAAUUAGAUGAUUUAGCUCGACAGCGAGAGGUAGUUUUUGAGGAUAGGCCUAGCUCUUAUGAUCCUUAUUCUAGAGGUCAUCCUUAUGUUGCUCCUACAUGCCAUAUUUGUGGAUUUCAGGGCCAUUCACCCGCUGAAUGUCAGCGUGGUUACUCUCACCCUCCCGAUUGUUAUGGCAUGAGCUUCGCCCCAUAGCCUAGCUCAUACCAAAACAAUUACACACAUGGGUGGCCUGAAAGCCAGAAUAUGUCAUAUAGGAGCAAUAACCCUGAGAUCUCAUCGUUUGCCUCUAGUUAUCCAAUGUAGGGAUUUAGGUAUGAAGAGGAGAUCCACAACUAUGCUCCACAACAGAUUUAUUCAGCUCCUACUCAUAUACCUCAACACCAGGACAUGUUGCCAAUGGAGUUAAAUGGUCCUCCAUUUGGUCAACCAACAUCUUCAACACAAGUGCCCACACAAGAUGACUUUGAUGAUAUAGACAAGCUCACAUUGCUUGGUCUCGAGUUCACUUGGAGUGCGAAGAUGAUCCAAUUAGGCCGGUGAUACUAGAGGAAAUGAAGAAGAGUAAGAGUGGAAAGGAGCUAGUGGAAGAAGUAAGGAGGAUUGAGAAGAACAUCAACACUGGCAGUACUAUAUCAUCACAGUUUGAGUUGAGUGUGGCUGAGAUAUCCAUUGAUACAUGUGACGUUCCAACACCUUCACAUUCAGCUGAGCAAGAUAGCGAGAGUCCAGAGGAAGAGAUACUUCAGAUCCAAGAAGAAAUUCUCGAAGCCAAGGCACAAGAUGAUCCAGAGCUCGAACAACAAAGUGAACAAGUUGAAGAUCCAAUGUCUACCACUCCCGAAGAAGUAAAAGAAGAUGUUGUAGAUGAAGAUGAAGAACCUGAGAUUCAUUUGCCUAUUGUCAUACCCGAGCGUGAUGUGUCAGGUUUAUCUAAUACUCUUAAUGACAUGUCUUCAUAUGAUUUAUUUGCUUCUACCUUGCAUUACAUGAUGCCAUCACUUAAGAUUGAUUUGAAAAAUCAUUUACUUGGAUAUGAUGAUACAUACACUGUUGGUGGCAUUGCUCUCAUUUGUGAUGAUCACAAUUACUUUCCUCAUGCUAGUCUUGAGCUUAAUGAUAAAUGUCAUCCUUGUGUGAGUAUUGACCAUGCUGAUUUCUGCCAUCCUAAACAUGUGCUUUAUAGUUAUGCUUAUAUAAUUGGAUAUUCCAUUGAUGACUUGGAGGGCAUUGACCGUAUCACUUGUAGUUGUUUGUGUGAGUCCUAUUUCAGGCUUUUGCUACUGCACUGUUUACUACAUGCUGACCAGGUUCGAGGUGACAUUCCUUGGGAUCCUGGUGGAGUCAAAGCAUGGCGAUGAGGAGAAGCAAUGGGGCACUCAUAUGGAAGAGUGAAGCUGGAGCAUCCAUGAGGAAGCAAGGGAGAAGAGCUGCAGCUGGUGAGGUGAUCGAGCGAGUGCUACAUGAUCAAAGCCCGGUGAGAUGUUUCAUGACCCAUUCUGAAUAUCAUAAAUACAUGCUGAAUUCAAUUGCUAGUUGGGUUGCUUGAGCUAGUUAUUACUUGUUGUCAAGCUGAAAUUCACCUUUGGCAUUGUGCUUGAUGUGAAUUUGUGAACUUGAUUUCUGAAUGCCUUGUAAACUAGUGAUCUACACCAUGCAUGCUUUGCUGAAAUUUGUGGAAGUUAUUAGUUUUGAGUGCUCAAAUCCCUAGUACACUAGAAAACCUGAUCAUUUUCUGCUUUUACCUUGAUACACCUAGAUCACCAUGUUUAGAUGCUGAAUUUGUGCUAAGUGUGUUCCCAUUGAGAGCAAUCACCUAACCACUAUGGAUUAGCAUGCUAUGUUCCCUGGAUCGGUAGCAUGUGAACCGGACAUGGAGAAGUGAUGAUUCCUGUUUUUGUGCUUAUGCGUUGUUCAUUUAAGAUAAGUAAUAUUUAAUAAAUAAGUCUGGUCUACCUACAGUAGCAUGUCAUGUUCCCUGGAUCGGUGGCAUGUGAAAUCUGGUAGCUUGGACAGUAAUAAAUAAAUAAAAAUGUAAUUGUCAAACCAGGUGUAUACCAUGUUCUCGGGAUCGGUGGUAUGUUCCUUUGGGGAGACAAACAAAAAAACUAAUAAUUGGUCGAGCCAGGUGUAUACCAUGUUCUCGGGAUCGGUGGUAUGUUCCUAUGGUGAGACUAAUAAUAAUACAAUCAUUGCUUUAUCUCUAUAAAUAAGUGAUUUGAUCACAAGAUUUAAUUCCAGUUCAUUUUGUUCUUGGGAUCAUGCUCUCUUUAGGAACCAUUUGGCACAGUCAUCAUUUAAACUUGUCGAUCCUCUUUUAUCAUUGUAAAAGUUUAAAAUGGUCAUGCUUACUAGUUUUCUAUUGCUCUGUAGCACUCUUAACCAUUGAUUUUCACUAGUUAAGUCCAAAGCAUGCUUUGUUUGGAGAUCUACUUCACUAGGACAUUCUCCAGUUAGCUCACUGUUCAUUAUCUAGCUCUUGUCAUAUUCCUUUGCUUGAGGACAAGCAAAAGUUUAAGUGUGGGGGAACUUGAUAAGCACAUUUCAUAUACAUAAUUUUGGCAUUGAAUUAUACCAUUCGUCGAGUUAUGCCCAUCUAUUCUUGCUACGUUUAGUUGAAUAUUUGCAUGAAAAUCAUAUAAUGAAUCAUUUACUAGUCAUUGUGUUUCUUUUGCAGAAAAGUGUGACACUCCAAAAUUUCUAUUUGGUUUUUAUCAAAAACUUUGUGGUUUUGAGGAGAGACCUUUUUAAAAAAAAAAUCCAGAAAAACCUUACUCUUAAAAACCUCCUUUUGCCUUGGCAAGGAUUUUAUUUCUUUCAAACUUUGGUGGUUUAUCUUUUGCAAACUUCUUCUCUGUUAGUUCCCUCUAAAAAUUUUUUUUGGCAGUUUUAAUUUGUUUUAUUUUUAAGUGAAGCUCUAUGAAAAUUUGGGAUUUUCUUAUCUUUGAAGCCACCCUUGGCUUUGUAUUUUUUUGCCCAUGAGAUAAAACCCCUCCAAAACCUCCCAUCCCCCUUGUGAUCAUCCUAAGUUCUCUGUCCCAACUAAUCCAAACUGGUUUUGGAUUUUAUUCUAAUUAUUUCUCCCCCUCAAAUCAAUUCUGAAAAUUAUUUGGAGCCUGAGGGAUUUUCAAAGCAAGUACCCUUUUUCAUUUGAGUUUUGACCUCAAACCAAUUCCCCUGGAUUGUCCUUUGAACCCACAACCCAGAACCAUCUUGAUCCACUCCUCCUCUUUUCAAAUUUUUCAAAAUACAGUCUCUGCAAGUUUGGACCAGAUUUGCCAAAUUUGGUGAAAUUCAUAUCCACACUGCUCCAAAAAUUCCACCAAAAAUCAUGCAGCCUACUUGAGCAAGGAGAAGCCACUCCACCAAAAAUCAGCUCAAGGAAAAAUCACCAGAGGCCAAUUUCAUUCGGUCGAACACCUUGUGGGCACUGUUACUGUUCAAAGUUCAGAAAAUUCAGUUUCAGUGUCAUCUUCUGUCCGUCAGUUUCAGUCACGCGGCCACAGUGCCCUUGGCACGUUCCUCGCGGCCUCUUCCUCUUGUCCGAAGCUUCACACGCGUGCGUGGAGCCUUCCUGGCGUUGGUAGCGCGCUGGCUCGCCCUCGCCGGCGUCUUCUGCGGCGUCGGGACCUCCCGUGGCGGCCGACAGGAGGCACACCACGGCAGAACGCCGUUCCGCGCCGCCCAUCGCUCCCUGGCUCUCCGCGUGGCCUCAUGCACGCCAGCGCACGCCCGUAGCACAGCCACCGUGGCUGGCAAGCACGGAACGCGCUCUCCGCCGCCAACGGGCCCGCGCCAUCCCCGUUCCGUCGAGCUCGCCCUUAACACCCAAACCCCGGCCAGUUUAACACCAAAACGGACCCAUUGAACCUCCGUGAUGACGCUCGACCCCCUAACCACCCCGACCAAGCACUGCGCCACCGUAAUCACUCGCCGGUGAUCCUCGUUCACGGCAACCGCCUCGGACCGCCUAUAUAAAGGGGUCCCGAGCUCACUCUCGUGCAUGCAGCACCUCCACUACUCAGCAACACCCCGCCAGGCCACUAGGGGGACCUCGAGGAGGUCUCCUCCCCCAGCUCCGGCCGCCUCGCUCCGCCUCGGCCUCUAGCCCGAUUCAUUCUGGUGAGGCCAUCUCCGGCGCUCAAACCCCGUUCGUUACCCUCUCUAGCUGCCAGGAGCAUAACCCCCUCUUCAAUUUAACCUUUGCAGCCCUCUCCGAUGAGCCCCUCGACCACCCGAGCCUCCGUCCGCCGGAGCAGAGCUCGCCGUUGACGUGGUGCUCGCCGACAGACUCCACCACCAUCAACUGACGCGGAAGGGUGCCCUGAGCACGGAGGUACUCUCCGAUCUCUCUGCCUCGCCGUGGAUCGCCGCCGGCGACCACCGCGGCUCUCGGGCGCCGGCGAACUCUGCCGCCCCGUUUGAACAUUUGAACCUGACGGGUGGGACCCCACCGUCAGCCUCUCUGCUCUCUCUUUCGAAUCGUUUUCUGGAAGCGCCUUCGAGCAGAAUGCGUUUUCUCUUUGGGCUGGCGUAGUCGCUACCGAAGCGUUUUCUGUUUAUAUAAACUAGCCCCUGGAAAUCUUCUGUUUCAUUACAGAUAAGUCCCUGGACAAAAACCCUUAUAACUUUUAAUCAGAAAAGUAUUUUUGAUUGAUUCUUUUUCUGUUCUCUUUAAAAUUUUGUCUAUUUUUUUAUCAGAUUUAUUUGAAAAAUAUUUGGUUUACCUUCUGUGCAUUCCUUGGUAUUUACGUUAGCGCAUAUAUUUUCUUUAAACCAUAGAUACCGAAGGAGGUGACGGAGCCGCGAACUUCACCGAGCUAGGCUCCGACUACUCUGAACCAGGCAAGCAUGUUUGAACUUUUGAUAUGAUGAGUGUCUUGGCAUGUUUUGCAUUUAGUUAGUUUCAUGGCAUGUUGGUGAGCAUACAGAUGAACGUUAUUUUAUGUGAUAAUGAGGUAAGUGAGUUCGAUGAUCCAUGCGUGGAUGAAUGUGAAUAUGAAUGGCCAUGUGUUGGCAUGAGGAUGGGUACGAUGGCAGUGUUGUAGCAUGCCAGUCUUACGCCAGACUAAGUGACUUCAGUGUCAAACCAUAUCGGUCCAGUACCUAUCAUUUCCUUCCUUGUACUACCACAUGUUUUCCGCAAGGAAUAUGGUUUAGUAAGUUGCAAACCGCUUUCAUGGUACACACCAAAGAGGAGAGGCCGUGAUGAUGGUUCCAUGGCCCUGGAUUAAAGCCAGUCAUCCGGUCAGAGGGCAUGGGUGUUUCCGGUUGGGACCGAGAGGGGGGCACCCCUUAGAGCGCGCGUAUAUAAAUUUGAUCCCAUGCUAUUCGAGAUUGUGAUCUCCCCGUCUCAAAAGUUUUUCUUGGACGAUGACUAGGGUGAUUCCUAGCAUCGAGAGGUAGGAUGGGUGUGUACUGGUUAGCUGUGUUUUCUUCCGAAAUACCGUAAACGGAACUAGUCCUUCGUGACUACGGAAAUCCGUUGGCUGUGGGAAAAAUUUUGUACAAACUCUGCAGAGUCAUAUAUUUCUCCAAAUCAUCUAUUCCUUGUCAAGUUUCGUUCCAUCUUAUCCUAAUCAAUUGUCAGCUUUGAUGACAGAGACUCCGGUGAAUCGCAUGAGUGCUAAGUCCGGUUGAAUGAUUAUCCCUGUGGAUGGACUAACCCGUUUAUUCUCAUGGAUUGAAUGUUUAUUAUGAGUAUUAUUUACUGGUGAAUUUAAAGUCCUUUCUGCGAUGUCGCUCAGACGUCCGACUGUGGCAUUUAAUUUAAAGCCCUUUCUGCGAUGUCGCUCAGACGUCCGACUGUGGCAUUUAAUUUAAAGCCCUUUCUGCGAUGUCGCUCAGACGUCCGACUGUGGCAUUUCUUUUAAAGCCCUUUCUGCGAUGUUGCUCAGACGUCCGACUGUGGCAUUUCUUUUNNNNNNNNNNUUUUGAUAUGAUGAGUGUCUUGGCAUGUUUUGCAUUUAGUUAGUUUCAUGGCAUGUUGGUGAGCAUACCGAUGAACGUUAUUUUAUGUGAUAAUAAGGUGAGUGAGUUCAAUGAUCCAUACGUGGAUGAAUGUGAAUAUGAAUGGCCAUGUGUUGGCAUGAGGAUGGGUACGAUGGCAGUGUUGUAGCAUGCCAGUCUUACGCCAGACUAUGUGACUUCAGUGUCAAACCAUAUCGGUCCAGUACCUAUCAUUUCCUUCCUUGUACUACCACAUGUUUUCCGCAAGGAAUAUGGUUUAGUAAGUUGCAAACCGCUUUCAUGGUACACACCAAAGAGGAGAGGCCGUGAUGAUGGUUCCAUGGCCCUGGAUUAAAGCCAGUCAUCCGGUCAGGGGGCAUGGGUGUUUCCGGUUGGGACCGAGAGGGGGGCACCCCUUAGAGCGCGCGUAUAUAAAUUUGAUCCCAUGCUAUUCGAGAUUGUGAUCUCCCCGUCUUAAAAGUUUUUCUUGGACGAUGACUAGGGUGAUUCCUAGCAUCGAGAGGUAGGAUGGGUGUGUACCGGUUAGCUGUGUUUUCUUCCGAAAUACCAUAAACGGAACUAGUCCUUCGUGACUACGGAAAUCCGUUGGCUGUGGGAAAAAUUUUGUACAAACUCUGCAGAGUCAUAUAUUCCUCCAAAUCAUCUCUUCCAUGUCAAGUUUCGUUCCAUCUUAUCCUAAUCAAUUGUCAGCUUUGAUGACAGAGACUCCGGUGAAUCGCAUGAGUGCUAAGUCCGAUUGAAUGAUUAUCCCUGUGGAUGGACUAACCCGUUUAUUCUCAUGGAUUGAAUGUUUAUUAUGAGUAUUGUUUACUGGUGAAUUUAAAGCCCUUUCUGCGAUGUUGCUCAGACGUCCGACUGUGGCAUUUCUUUUAAAGCCCUUUCUGCGAUGUCGCUCAGACGUCCGACUGUGGCAUUUCUUUUAAAGCCCUUUCUGCGAUGUCGCUCAGACGUCCGACUGUGGCAUUUCUUUUAAAGCCCUUUCUGCGAUGUCGCUCAGACGUCCGACNNNNNNNNNNNNNNNNNNNNNNNNNNNNNNNNNNNNNNNNNNNNNNNNNNNNNNNNNNNNNNNNNGUGGCAUUUCUUUUAAAGCCCUUUUUGCGAUGUUGCUCAGACGUCCGACUGUGGCAUUUCUUUUAAAGCCCUUUCUGCGAUGUCGCUCAGACGUCCGACUGUGGCAUUUCUUUUCAAGCCCUUUAUGUGGUGUCGCUAAGAUGCCCGACUGUGGCAUCAUUUCCUUAUUUUUAUUUGUUCACCUUUCGAGGCGUCGCUCCAGACACCCGGUCGGUCUUUAUUUAUGCUCUGUGGGAUUUCAGGCGGACUACCGCCGUUUCCCUUUUUACUUACCCCAUUAUGCCAAUUUUUAUUUAUUGUGCAUUAAGGAAUUAAUCAUGUUGCAUCCAUGCAUGCAUUUGUUAUAUCUUACGUCCGAACUGUCUUGCGAGUACUUUCAAAGUACUCACUGGCUUGUUGAUUUGGCCAGAUGCUGACGAUGGCGAUCUCAUGGAUGAAGAGUUCGAUAGCGAGUCCGACACUUAGAGGAGUCCCAGUCAGUCUCGUGCGACCCUGGAUUUGGUCACUGUUUUAUAUCCGCUUCCGCUACCAAAUAAAUUUAUCGAGCCUCACCUCAACGUUCGAUGAAAUGAUAGUCUUAGAGUUUUGUAUUUCCCUUCCCGCUGUGUUUUUCCUCCACCAACCUAUCCAUGAGUCAGUAGUAUGUCUCCACACCACUGUGUCCUGUCCGCCAUUAUGUAUGAUUAUUGGUGUGCUUGUAAUAAUUUGGUUGAGCGACCGCAGUUCAACCCUGUAAUAUAUUUUAUGCUACUGGCUUAUUGUAUCAAGAAAUUGUCUACCAGUGAGGAGGAUUUCUCUCAUACUGGACUCAAAAGACUGGUUAAUCAAUAAAUAUUUUUAUUGGAAAACCGGUCAUGACAAGCUUGGUACCAGAGCCAGGCUGACUGUAGGAAGCCACUAGGUGCGAUCGCUAAUUAGUUAUUAGCAUGACGGAGCUAUUUUAUGUUUUUGCAAUUGUAGUCAUUUUCUGUCAGUUAGCAUAAAUUUAUGAUCUGACCCUGCAGAAUUUUUGCCUACUUUUGUAGAUGGCCGACAACAGCUGCGAGUCUCAGACCUUUGCCAACGUGCCCGAUGGGUUUGUCAAGCUUCUUUCUUUCAUCGUUCGGGUCGCGAUGGGGCCAUCCAUCCGCCCAGUCUUCACACUCUGCCAGCACCGAGUCAACGACAGUCUGACCAUGCACCAGGCCGCGGUGCAGUUCAGGGGAGGGCGUGGUGAGUUACGCCGCUUCCGGUUCAUGGGAAGAGCCAUGCCUACGGAGAGGCAUGCUAUGCAGAUGGCAGCCCGUGAGGCGAUAGCUCGUCUCAGGGAUGUCCUUCCCGUGAUGAAGACUCGUCGUUACCGUUAUCUUCCGUGCCAUGUGCCUUACCACCUGUCACUACGCAUACUCCUGCCCCAGAGGAGAACGAGACGAGGCUUUUGAGAUGCUCAUUGAGUAUCUCCGGGCCCUGGAGGCAGCCUUCGACAACCUGGUGGACGACUUCGUAGCUACCCGCAUGGACUCAGUCCAUGGCUGUGCUGCCAACAGGAGGGAGCUCCUACCCAUUGCUCCGCCACCGACUUUUGUCUCGUCAUCAGCAUCUUUUACGCCUACUCGUCGCCUGCCUUCUACCGAAGAAUUUAACCAAGUCAUUGCACCCACUCCAGCGCGCACUACACCAACCUUCGCGCCCACUCCUGUACGUGUUGCUCCGCCCCUGGCAAGCGCUCCGUCCGCUCUGCGCAACACUACACGUAUGGAGCCCAUUAGCGAGGAGGAAGUCGAGUCCCCAACCUCGCUACGCCUCGCCCUCGGCAGGGCAAAGGAGGUCGUCAACAUCUCUGCCUGAGUACGCUUAGCUGCCAUGUAUUGUACCACUUUGUAAGAUAUGUGCAUAGGUUGUGAGAAGUAGCUUGUUUGCGCAUCAUGUAGGAUCUGGAGAAGUGCACUAGCCUUAAUAACAUGUCAGGAUUAUGUACGCAUAUCCUGAGUGAUGUACUGUAUAAUUACCGCCCGCGUGUAAGAUGUGUAAUGAGCAGUCCUUCUCCGUGCGCAAGUCGAUUUGUUUUUCUUAAGUAAGCUUGGGUAUUUAAUUAUAUCUGCCAGCUUUAUGCAUUUAUGGUUUUAUUUUUUUGUGACUCUUUCCGCUUUUCUUAAGAGUUUUACAAAAAUAUUUUUUUUCCCAGAGUGAAAAAUGUCUUGUCCUUGGACACGUUCCAUGCCAACUCCACCAGAGGAAACUCAUGAUACUCAACCCAACAAUGAGUUCACUCAGGGACAGUCAAGCCAACAAGGCAGUGAAUCGGCACUUUCACAAAUGUGCCGCCUUUAUGAACAGAGUCAGCAAAAACAUCGCGAGAUGAUGAACCAAGUCAUCAACAUGGGGAAUCAUCAUGGACAGUAUCAGCAACAUUCCAAGUUAUCUGAGCUACAGAAGACACGUCCUCAAACAUUUUCUCACACGGACAAGCCUCUUGAAGCCGAGGACUGGCUUCGAGAUAUGGAGAGGAAAUUAAUUAUUGCAAAGUGUUCAGAUCUCGAGAAAGUACUAUAUGCUCCACACUAUCUCACAGGAGCAGCCGCAUCGUGGUGGGAGAAUUUUCUGCACAUGCAUCCCAACAAAAAUGACAUAACCUGGGAUGAUUUCAAGGAAGGUUUCCGUGGUGCACAUAUUCCUAAGAGUAUUAUGAAAAUCAAGAAGAGAGAAUUCGAUGACCUCAAACAAAGGAACAUGACAGUGUCAGAUUACAACAGUCAAUUUACCCUAUUAUCCCGCUAUGCCAAUGAGGAGCGUAUGACUGAAAUCAAGAAGAUGGAGAAAUUCCUUGACGGUCUGGCGCCCGCGCUUAAAUGCCAACUGGUCGUGCACACUUUUCCUAAUUUUAAAACGCUGGUGGACAAGGCCAUUACUCUGGAAAAUGAGAGACACAGUCUGGAAGAUAUCCGCAAGCGAAAAAGGGACCAGACUAAUCACACUCGCAAUCACCGAAGCAAGAUAGAUUUUAAAAAGGGUGGGACACCCAAAUUCUCAUCCAAUGUCUCACGCCCAAUCAAGAAUUUUCAUGCAAGGGACAAGGAAUUCACAUAUCGCCCCGGCGUUACUUGUUACGCUUGUGGAGAAGAAGGGCAUUAUGCCAAACAGUGCCCCAAGCCAAGGAACUCAACCCCAAAGCCGAACAACGGCGGCAAUAAUUCAGCGCCCAAGCGAAACAAUUUCAAUCCCAAGAAUAACCACAGGAAGGGUCAUCUGAACCACGUAACCAAAGAGGAGGCACAAAAUGCUCCGGAUAUCGUACUCGGUACGUUUCCUGUCAACACAAUACCUGCAAUGGUUUUGUUUGAUUCUGGAGCUUCUCACUCUUUCAUCUCGAAAAGUUUUGCUUUGCAAAAUAAUUUUUCGAUGCUUCCUUUGGAGAAAUCCAUAAUAAUCAAGUCCCCCAGGAUUCAGCAAGUUUCUCAGAAUUACUGUCAGAAUGUGGUCAUUGAGUUUGAAGGAUUGGAGUUUUACGCAAAUCUUAUUGUAUUGGAAAAUAAAGGACUGGAUGUCAUCCUAGGGAUGGAUUGGCUAACCACCAAUAAAGGUUUUAUCGACUGUUUCAACAGGACCGUGAUUCUCACACACCACCAAGGGAAGACAAUAAGAGUAUCAGCCAAGGAAGGAAAAAGACCCCGGCAACCGAGAUUAAAUAAGGUGGACGUUUCUGAGCUAAAUGAGGUUCCAGUAGUGUGUGAAUUUCCAGAUGUAUUCCCUGAAGAGCUGCCAGGCAUGCCACCAGACCGAGAAAUAGAAUUCCGCAUUGAGCUAGCACCAGGGACCACCCCCAUAUACAAGAAACCAUACAGAAUGGCACCAUCCGAGUUGAUCGAAUUGAAGAAGCAAAUAAAGGAAUUAUUGGAAAAAGGAUACAUUCGAGCCAGCUCCUCACCUUGGGGAUCACCAAUUUUAUUUGCCAAGAAGAAGGAUGGAACGCUGAGAUUGUGUAUCAACUAUCGAGCACUUAACAUGGUCACAGUCAAAAACAAAUACCUGAUGCCAAGGAUAAACGAUUUGUUUGAUCAACUUGCUCAGGCCAAGGUAUUCUCAAAAAUUGACUUAAGGUCGGGAUACCAUCAAUUGAAGGUACGAACGGAAUAUAUCCCCAAAACAGCCUUCACCUCCAGAUAUGGACUGUACGAGUUCACAGUGAUGCCAUUUGGAUUAACUAACGCCCCGGCAUAUUUUGUUCACCUCAUGAACAAAGUAUUUAUGAAGUUUAUGGACAAAUUCGUCGUAGUAUUCAUCGACGAUAUUCUGGUAUACUCCAGAACACCAGAAGAGCAUGCAGAACAUCUCAGGAUUGUACUAGGAGAGCUAAGGAAACACCAAUUGUAUGCCAAGUUCAGCAAGUGUGAAUUUUGGCUAAGACAAGUAGGUUUCCUAUGCCACGUGCUGACUCAAGACGGUAUAGCAGUGGACCCAGAGAAAGUCAAGGCCGUACUUGACUGGAAGUCACCAGCCAGCGUAACAGACAUACGAAGUUUCUUGGGAAUGGCAGGAUAUUACCGCAGAUUUAUUGAAGGAUUUUCCACCAUAUCCAAGCCUAUGACACAGUUACUCAAGAAAGAUAAGAAGUUUGAGUGGACAGAAGCCUGCGAGAAAAGUUUCCAAGAGCUAAAGCGGAAAUUAACAACAGCACCGGUAUUAAUUGUACCCGAUAUACACUAAAAUUUUGAAGUAUUUUGUGAUGCAUCCAGAAAGGGUCUCGGAUGCGUGUUGAUGCAAGAAGGCAAGGUUGUCGCCUACGCUUCAAGGCAACUUCGCAAACACGAGGAAAAUUAUCCCACUCAUGAUUUAGAAAUGGCAGCAGUUAUUCAUGCACUCAAGGAAUGGAGGCAUUUCCUACUUGGGAAUCGAUGUGAGAUAUAUACGGAUCACAAAAGCCUCAAAUAUAUUUUUACGCAGCCAGAACUAAAUUUACGGCAACGCCGCUGGUUGUAAUUGGUAAAGGAUUAUGAUGUUGGUAUCCAUUACCAUCCAGGGAAAGCAAACGUAGUGGCCGAUGCCCUGAGUCGGAACCCCAGCUCCGACGGGAACUAUCUGCACAGCUUGAGGCCCGAAUUCCAUCAAGAAUUUGUCAAGCUCAACUUGAUAAUGGUAGCAGAAGGCACCAUAUCAAACUUGGAAAUACAACCACACCUUGUGGAGAAAAUUAAAGAGGCUCAGUCCGGUCACCCCAGCAUUGAAGGAAUUAAAAGGAAGUUGAGUAUGGGCAAGGCCUCGGAAUUCGUCAUAGACAAUGAAGGAAUAUUAUGGUACGGAGAAAGGCUAUGCGUGCCAAACAUAUAAGACCUUAAACAGCAAGUUUUAACUGAAGCACACACCACUCCAUAUUCGAUCCACCCUGGAGGAACCAAAAUGUAUAAGGAUAUUCAGGAAAGAUUUUGGUGGCACGGUAUGAAGAGGGACAUAGCCGCCUUCAUUGCAUGUUGCGACUCAUGUCAACGCAUAAAAGCUGAACAUCAGAGACCAGCCGGACUACUGCAACCCAACAUAAUACCUGAGUGGAAAUGGGAUGAAAUAGGGAUGGAUUUUAUUGUCGGAUUACCUCAGUCACGACACGGGAAUGAUGCCAUAUGGGUCAUCACUGACAGGUUGACCAAAGUGGCACACUUUAUUCCAGUGAAGACAACCUACACCACUCAGAGGCUUGCCAGGAUUUAUCUUUCCCGCAUAGUCUGUCUGCACGGUGUCCCAAAGACUAUAAUUUCUGACAGAGGCACUCAGUUCGUCUCAAGAUUUUGGGAGCAUUUACAACAGGCUCUGGGAACCCAACUAGCCUUCAGUACCGCAUACCAUCCACAGACUGAUGGAAAAACAGAACGCGUAAACCAGGUUUUAGAAGACAUGCUGAGAGCAUGUGUCCUCACCUAUGGAACCAGUUGGGAGGACAGCCUGCCAUAUGCCGAGUUCGCAUACAACAACAGUUACCAGGCUAGCCUGCAAAUGGCUCCUUUCGAAGCCCUAUACGGAAGGAGAUGUCGUACCCCGUUAAAUUGGUCAGAGACCGGAGACAGCCGCAUCUUCGGACCAGAUAUGCUCAGAGAAGCCGAGGAAAAAGUCAAGAUAAUCAGGGACCGACUUAAGACCGCUCAAAGUCGACAGAAAAGUUAUUAUGAUCAGAAACAUCGUAGGGUCAGCUUCGAACCCGGUGAAUUCGUAUACUUGAGAGUAUCCCCGAUGAGAGGAUUGCAACGGUUUAAGAUUAAAGGAAAGUUGGCACCAAGAUUCAUUGGACCAUUUCGCAUAGUGGCACGAAGAGGCACUGUAGCCUACCAGCUAGACUUACCCGAAGACUUGUCCGACAUUCACGACGUGUUCAAGGUCUCUCAAUUAAGGAAGUGCGUAAGCAACCCAGAGAAACAAGUAUCCCAUGAGAACAUUGACGCACAGCCAGACCUCACGUAUCGAGAACGUCCCAUAAAAAUAUUAGAGGAGUCUGAAAGGAGGACCCGACAGAAAACCAUCAAGUUUUUCAAAGUCCAGUGGAGCAAUCACACCGACAGUGAAGCAACUUGGGAAAGCGAGGAUUUUCUUCGGACAGAGCAUCCACACUUGUUUAAGGAUCAGCUGAAAUCUCGGGGACGAGAUUUUUCCUAAGGGGGUAGGUGUUGUGACACUCCAAAAUUUUUAUUUGGUUUUUAUCAAAAACUUUGUGGUUUUGAGGAGAGACCUUUUUAAAUUUUUUUUUCAGAAAACCCUUCCUCUUAAAAACCUCCUUUUGCCUUGGCAAGGAUUUUAUUUCUUUCAAACUUUGGUGGUUGAUCUUUUGCAAACUUCUUCUCUGUUAGUUCCCUCUAAAUUUUUUUUGGGAGUUUUAAUUAGUUUUAUUUUUAAGUGAAGCUCUAUGAAAAUUUGGGAUUUUCUUAUCUUUGAAGCCACCCUUGGCUUUGUAUUUUUUUGCCCAUGAGAUAAAACCCCUCCAAAACCUCCCCUCCCCCUUGUGAUCAACCUAAGUUCUCUGUCCCAACUAAUCCAAACUGGUUUUGGAUUUUAUUCUAAUUAUUUCUCCCCCUCAAAUCAAUUCUGAAAAUUAUUUGGAGCCUGAGGGAUUUUCAAAGCAAGUACCCUUUUUCAUUUGAGUUUUGACCUCAAACCAAUUCCCCUGGAUUGUCCUUUGAACCCACAACUCAGAACCAUCUUGAUCCACUCCUCCUCUUUUCAAAUUUUUCAAAAUACAGUCUCUGCAAGUUUGGACCAGAUUUGCCAAAUUUGGUGAAAUUCAUAUCCACACUGCUCCAAAAAUUCCACCAAAAAUCAUGCAGCCUACUUGAGCAAGGAGAAGCCACUCCACCAAAAAAUCAGCUCAAGGAAAAAUCACCAGAGGCCAAUUUCAUUCGGUCGAACACCUUGUGGGCACUGUUACUGUUCAAAGUUCAGAAAAUUCAGUUUCAGUGUCAUCUUCCGUCCGUCAGUUUUAGUCACGCGGCCACAGUGCCCUUGGCACGUUCCUCGCCGCCUCUUCCUCUUGUCCGAAGCUUCACACGCGUGCGUGGAGCCUUCCUGGCGUCGGUAGCGCGCUGGCUCGCCCUCGCCGGCGUCUUCUGCAGCGUCGGGACCUCCCGUGGCGGCCGACAGGAGGCACACCACGGCAGAACGCCGUUCCGCGCCGCCCAUCGCUCCCUGGCUCUCCGCGUGGCCUCAUGCACGCCAGCGCACGCCCGUAGCACAGCCACCGUGGCCGGCAAGCACGGAACGCGCUCUCCGCCGCCGACGGGCCCGCGCCAUCCCCGUUCCGUCGAGCUCGCCCUUAACACCCAAACCCCGGCCAGUUUAACACCAAAACGGACCCAUUGAACCUCCGUGAUGACGCUCAACCCCCUAACCACCCCGACCGAGCACUGCGCCACCGUAAUCACUCGCCGGUGAUCCUCGUUCACGGCAACCGCCUCAGACCGCCUAUAUAAAGGGGUCCCGAGCUCACUCUCGUGCACGCAGCACCUCCACUACUCACCAACACCCCGCCAGGCCACUAGGGGGACCUCGAGGAGGUCUCCUCCCCCAGCUCCGGCCGCCUCGCCCCGCCUCGGCCUCCAGCCCGAUUCGUUCUGGUGAGGCCAUCUCCGGCGCUCAAACCCCGUUCGUUACCCUCUCUAGCUGCCAGGAGCAUAACCCCCUCUUCAAUUUAACCUUUGCAGCCCUCUCCGACGAGCCCCUCGACCACCCGAGCCGCCGUCCGCCGGAGCAGAGCUCGCCGUCGACGUGGUGCUCGCCGACCGACUCCACCACCAUCAACUGACGCGGAAGGGUGCCCUGAGCACGGAGGUACUCUCCGAUCUCUCUGCCUCACCGUGGAUCGCCGCCGGCGACCACCGCGGCUCUCGGGCGCCGGCAAACUCUGCCGCCCCGUUUGAACAUUUGAACCUAACGGGUGGGACCCCACCGUCAGCCUCUCUGCUCUCUCUUUCGAAUCGUUUUCUGGAAGCGCCUUCGGGCAGAAUGCGUUUUCUCUUUGGGCUGGCGUAGUCGCUACCGAAGCGUUUUCUGUUUAUAUAAACUAGCCCCUGGAAAUCUUCUGUUUCAUUACAGAUAAGUCCCUGGACAAAAACCCUUAUAACUUUUAAUCAGAAAAGUAUUUUUGAUUGAUUCUUUUUCUGUUCUCUUUAAAAUUUUGUCUAGUUUUUUAUCAGAUUUAUUUGAAAAAUAUUUGGUUUACCUUCUGUGCACUCCUUGGUAUUUACGUUAGCGCAUAUAUUUUCUUUAAACCGUAGAUACCGAAGGAGGUGACGGAGCCGCGAACUUCACCGAGCUAGGCUCCGACUACUCUGAACCAGGCAAGCAUGUUUGAACUUUUGAUAUGAUGAGUGUAUUGGCAUGUUUUGUAUUUAGUUAGUUUCAUGGCAUGUUGGUGAGCAUACCGAUGAACGUUAUUUUAUGUGAUAAUGAGGUAAGUGAGUUCGAUGAUCCAUGCGUGGAUGAAUGUGAAUAUGAAUGGCCAUGUGUUGGCAUGAGGAUGGGUACGAUGGCAGUGUUGUAGCAUGCCAGUCUUACGCCAAACUAAGUGACUUCAGUGUCAAACCAUGUCGGUCCAGUACCUAUCAUUUCCUUCCUUGUACUACCACAUGUUUUCCGCAAGGAAUAUGGUUUAGUAAGUUGCAAACCGCUUUCAUGGUACACACCAAAGAGGAGAGGCCGUGAUGAUGGUUCCAUGGCCCUGGAUUAAAGCCAGUAAUCCGGUCAGGGGGCAUGGGUGUUUCCGGUUGGGACCGAGAGGGGGGCACCCCUUAGAGCGCGCGUAUAUAAAUUUGAUCCCAUGCUAUUCGAGAUUGUGAUCUCCCCGUCUCAAAAGUUUUUCUUGGACGAUGACUAGGGUGAUUCCUAGCAUCGAGAGGUAGGAUGGGUGUGUAUCGGUUAGUUGUGUUUUCUUCCGAAAUACCGUAAACGGAACUAGUCCUUCGUGACUACAGAAAUCCGUUGGCUGUGGGAAAAAUUUUGUACAAACUCUACAGAGUCAUAUAUUUCUCCAAAUCAUCUAUUCCUUGUCAAGUUUUGUUCCAUCUUAUCCUAAUCAAUUGUCAGCUUUGAUGAUAGAGACUCCGGUGAAUCGCAUGAGUGCUAAGUCCGGUUGAAUGAUUAUCCCUGUGGAUGGACUAACCCGUUUAUUCUCAUGGAUUGAAUGUUUAUUAUGAGUAUUAUUUACUGGUGAAUUUAAAGUUCUUUCUGCGAUGUCGCUCAGACGUCCGACUGUGGCAUUUAAUUUAUAGCCCUUUCUGCGAUGUCGCUCAGACGUCCGACUGUGGCAUUUAAUUUAAAGCCCUUUCUGCGAUGUCGCUCAGACGUCCGACUGUGGCAUUUCUUUUAAAGCCCUUUCUGCGAUGUCNNNNNNNNNNAUGAUUAUCCCUGUGGAUGGACUAACCCGUUUAUUCUCAUGGAUUGAAUGUUUAUUAUGAGUAUUAUUUACUGGUGAAUUUAAAGCCCUUUCUGCGAUGUCGCUCAGACGUUCGACUGUGGCAUUUCUUUUAAAGCCCUUUCUGCGAUGUCGCUCAGACGUCCGACUGUGGCAUUUCUUUUAAAGCCCUUUCUGCGAUGUCGCUCAGACGUCCGACUGUGGGAUUUCUUUUAAAGCCCUUUCUGCGAUGUCGCUCAGACGUCCGACUGUGGCAUUUCUUUUAAAGCCCUUUUUGCGAUGUCGCUCAGACGUCCGACUGUGGCAUUUCUUUUAAAGCCCUUUAUGUGGCGUCGCUUAGACACCCGACUGUGGUAUUUCUUUUAAAGCCCUUUAUGUGGCAUCGCUCAGACGCCCGACUGUGGUAUUUCUUUUAAAGCCCUUUUUAUGGUGUCGCUAAGAUGCCCAACUGUGGCAUCUUUUCCUUNNNNNNNNNNNNNNNNNNNNNNNNAUUUGUUCACCUUUCGAGGCGUCGCUUCAGACACCCGAUCGGUCUUUAUUUAUGCUCUGUGGGAUUUCAGGCGGACUACCGCCGUUUCCCUUUUUACUUACCCCGUUAUGCCAAUUUUUAUUUAUUGUGCAUUAAGGAAUUAAUCAUGUUGCAUCCAUGCACGCAUUUGUUAUAUCUUACGUCCGAACUGUCUUGCGAGUACUUUCAAAGUACUCACUGGCUUGUUGAUUUGGCCAGAUGCUGACGAAGGCGAUCUCAUGGAUGAAGAGUUCGAUAGCGAGUCCGACACUUAGAGGAGUCCCAGUCAGUCUCGUGCGACCCUGGAUUUGGUCACUGUUUUAUAUCCGCUUCCGCUACCAAAUAAAUUUAUCGAGCCUCACCUCGACGUUCGAUGAAAUGAUAGUCUUAGAGUUUUGUAUUUCCCUUCCCGCUGUGUUUUCCACCACCAACCUAUCCAUGAGUCAGUAGUAUGUCUCCACACCACUGUGUCCUAUCUGCCAUUAUGUAUGAUUAUUGGCGUGCUUGUAAUAAUUUGGUUGAGCGACCGCAGUUCAACCCUGUAAUAUAUUUUAUGCUACUGGCUUAUUGUAUCAAGAAAUUGUCUACCAGUGAGGAGGAUUUCUCUCAUACUGGACUCAAAAGACUGGUUUAUCAAUAAAUAUUUUUAUUGGAAAACCGGUCAUGACAAAAAGUGCGACAAGGCACUAUAAUCUACAAGUUUCUGUCUAGAAAGUAUUGAGGAACAAGACAAGGGCAAGAAAGAAAGAGUGGAGGGAUCUACUUGAGGCUAAAGAAGAGAAGAAGGAGGGCAAAAGUGCAAAAAUGCAGAUCUGGGAGGGGAUCAAAAUCCCUAGCCGCAUCUCCAUUGCGACCAGGCCUAGCAUCUCCAUCUCCCUCACUCGACCCCUUCUCCACCUCCGGCCGCCGCCGCGGCCAGGCAGGCGUGGCGGCGCGUCACCAGCACCUCCACCAUCACCCUGCGCUUCCUGUCAAUCCAUCAUCCAACCCGCCAGCACCAACAUCCACCACGCACCACCACAUCCAACCACACCAUCCAUCGGCGCCGCCAGCCACGACCAUCUCCUUCCACCCAGCGCCAGCAACCUCCAUCCACCAGUGCAACCGCGCCUCCUCUCCCUGCUGAUUCCCCUUGCUACUCAUGCCCUGGACCAGACAAGGGUAUCAUGGAGUCUGAUCCCUAGUGAACUUCCUUACUGUCGCUCCUUUAUCUUCAACCUGUUGCUGCUCUUCUUUCCCCACGCCACUUCUGCUGCUCCUCUGCUUAAAACUGCUACUUCUUCUCUCCCGCGCCCCUUGCUGUUCCUCACUAGCUAAACCUCCGAUCUGAACCUCCUCCUUCCGCUGCUUCCCUGCUUCUUCUCUGAAUCUCCCAAACGCUGCUGCUGCUACCUUCUCUCAAGCGUCCACUUACUGCUCAGUUUCAGACUUGUGUUCCUGUAGUGUUAGAUCGGUCAUAUGUGAAUGGUGUUGGGGCAUGUGACUCUAUGUUCUUGUAUGUGUUAAUUAGUUAAAUUUGUCACUUGAGUACUGCACUUUCUGCAUAGUCGUGUUUGUUCAAUUUAUAGUUCCUGUGUUGCUCAAGUACCUGUGAUAUAUGAAUGUGCAUGUGUGUGUUUGAUUUGAAACAAUUAUAUUCUGUCAUAUAUUGUCGCUUCUUCCUACUGUCAUAUGUUUGAUACUAAUGUGUCCUCGCAUUGUAGGUUUACUUGAUAUUGACUCCUGUUUGUGUUAGUAUCUUAAUUUCUCAAGUAUUACAAAAAUACCAAAAAGAAAGUUAGUAAAAUCUGAAUCUGCCUUUGCUUAUUUUGCCUUUUCUU